GCGGGUAGCUCAGUGGUAGAGCGUUCGAUUGCAGCUCGAAGGGUCACUGGUUCGAAUCCGGUCUCGCGCU
rnacentral:tRNA from 1 species